UUCAUCUACUCCCUCAAACCUCAAGGCGGAUGCUAACUUGUUUGCCUCUGCAUCUUGUGCGCCCUUCUGUACUGCAACCAACUUACUUCAACCUAUUUGACUUACACCUUGUGCCUUCUCUGUUAUAUCCAAAAUAGGGUGGCACGGUGAUGGAGACGGCGUUGGUGCGCAGCUCGCAGCUACUCCGGGAUCAGCUCGAUGCUUGGCACCGCCGCGCUCGUUGGCUGCAGCUGGGGCAUGGCGACGACCGUUGGAACGAAGGCCAGAUCGGAGGUGCCCGUCGCUGCUGCCACAGGAAGGGGAUCAGGAGACGCCCGUGGAAGAUGCUAUGGUGAGAAGAUAGAUGAAGAAAGAACUCAAGAGCAAAUAUUGUUGUUGCGGAUGUUUUGAGCAAACAACUAAAAGAAGAUAGAUGCUCUAGCAUGUUGAGCCCAUUGGAUUGAGGCUAAAGGAUGAAAUGACUUGUCGUCAUACCUCCAUUCCGCAGAUUGGGGAUGGAUAAUGAAAUUGUGACAUUGUCGUUCUUUCGUUAUUGAUAUCAAGGUUAUGCCAAUGUGACGUGCUUAAUGUGUCAACGUUUCUAGCAGAAAAUAAUUUGUAGGUGAAGCAAAUGCUAAGUGAAGAGGAACAAAGACUGAUUUGAAUU